rnacentral:rRNA from 1 species
UACGGAGGGAGCAAGCGUUACUCGGAAUUAUUGGGCGUAAAGGGCGCGUAGGCGAUUUGAAAAGUCUUGUGUGAAAGCCCCGGGCUUAACCCGGGAAGUGCACAAGAAACUGUUGAAUUUGAGUUCCGGAGAGGAAGGCAGAAUUCCCGGUGUAGCGGUGAAUGCGUAGAUAUCGGGAGGAAUACCAGUGGCGAAGGCGGCCUUCUGGACGGAUACUGACGCUGAGGCGCGAAAGCCAGGGGAGCAAAGCGGG